rnacentral:rRNA from 1 species
UACGGGGGGGGCAAGCGUUGUUCGGAAUUACUGGGCGUAAAGGGUCUGUAGGUGGCUUGCUAAGUCAGACGAGAAAUCCCUCGGCUUAACCGGGGAACUGCGUCUGAUACUGGCGAGCUUGAGUGCAGGAGAGGAACGCGGAAUUCCAGGUGUAGCGGUGAAAUGCGUAGAUAUCUGGAGGAACACCGGUGGCGAAGGCGGCGUUCUGGACUGCAACUGACACUGAGAGACGAAAGCCAGGGGAGCAAACGGG